GCUAGUUCUUCAUCUAAGAACUAGUGCUGUUUGCAGUGGGCUACUAACCAGAUGGCAAAGUAACUGGAAUUUAAAAAUUAAAAAGGCCAUUAAUUCAGAUUUCAUAUUCCCCGUUUCGCUGCAGAAUCACAUACCCCUCUACUUACUUCCCAUCAUCUUUUUGUUCCCUGUAAUGUUUUCUCUGCAAUAAAACUGAAGGCCAUUGUCUAGGCAGGGUGAAAACAUAAUUAAGCUGAAUAGUCAAUACAUAGGUUGAGUUUGAAGUUCUGUAAUGUUUUAGCGUUCAUGCAGUAGUAAUCUUUACAACAGUCCUGCAAAGUAGACCAGUAUUAGUGCAAGGCUGUCUAACAAGUUCAUGAUUGAGGUGAGAAUUUAAUUUGUUGUUUUUUUAUCUUGCAAUCUCAGACACUUUACUAUGUUGCUCUAGGAAAGUUUCUGUGAUGGUUACUAACCUGCUGAAACCAAACACCAAAAGCCAGAUGUUAAAAUAUUCUUAAGAGCUUCCUCUCUGCAGCAAUAUAAAUAUUUGUCAAGUUACAAAAUAUCUUAAACAUAUUUAACUCUGGCUGAGUGGCGAUCUCUGCACAUAAGUAAUGCAUUCAAUCCUGGAAGCCCCAGGCAAUUGUUUGAAAGCAUUGUUAGCAGGCCACCUGCUGGUUGAGAAAUGAAAAUGCAUUUUACUACUUUUAUCUUUAAUUAAUCUUCUGCUUUAUUCAUAAUAACUAAAGCAUGAGUCUAUAAAACCAUAUUUGCAUGCAUGAUAAGUGUGUCAGAUAACAAAACUGAAAAUACUUUGCUCUUGAAUAUUUUAGGAUGUGUAGCUAAGAUUCCUGGUCACACUUCAGUUACUUGACCUCAACUGCCUUGUGCUAAGCAAAAAAACUGUUCAGUUGAGCUGACACUGAGGCUUUUGGAGGAAAGCAGUGUGCACAGUAUUAACAUGCACAUUGGGUGUCCGUGUUUUGUUCCAGUCAGGCCUGAUUUAUACUUUUGAUUUCAGCAUAAUUGCUGCUUGAGAAGCAGCUCCACAGGAUGGAUCAAAGAGAGCGUAGUGGGGGGGACGGUGGGUAGGCUGAGCAAGCAGUUUGUGUGAAAUGGCUCCCUACGUGGUUGUAGUGAUUUCAGCAUGGCAUCUCAAUUCAAAAAUCUAAAUGUUUUCAAUGGUUUGGUUGAAAUGUGUGGACUGAAAUGUGUCUGUUGCUAGCAGUGAUAUUAUCUGAAUCCUUCAAAGCCAUCUGAAUAUCUUGGCUGCAGGAAAUAACCCCAUCUGGUUUAAAAAAUUAUUGCAUUCAGACAUACACCUUUUGUGGUCUUAAGUAAUGUUAUCAAAAUCAAAUUUAACAGCAUCAUUAAAAUAAAGAAGUGCCUUUUUAAAUGCAAAUGUUCAGCAAGUACCUAAACUUGAACAAUUUCCUAGUGCCUUGGACUGGAGUGGGAUGUUGUAUGUACAAGAGUACAGUACAAUGUGCAAUUAGUGAUGUUUUAGGAAGAUUUUUGUGUUUAAAUAUCCAAUUUCAAGUUCAUAUUGUAGAAUGGAAAGUUUAUGGUCUUGGUUUAGAAAACCAGUUGCUAAGUUUCAUUACUCAAAACAAAAAUGGUGUAAAGAACAUGAAUGAGCAUCCCUAUAUACCCCUGAUGGCUGAUUCUGACAGUUUCGUAAGUGGCUCCUGAUCCCAAAUGUUGGCAUACAAGCAUACAAGGUUCACCAUGCAGUGUCUUCCACCAAUAGUCUGCAAUAUCAAAAUAAAUGAACAGGGUAGCUUCCAUAAAUGUACGGGUCAUUCAUUAGAAAUAUUUGUCAAUAUCUACUCCAGGCUUCCUCAACCUCAGUCCUACAGAUGUUUUGAGACUAUAAUUCUCAUCAUCCCUGACCACUGGUCCUGCUAGCUAGGGAUCAUGGGAGUUGUAGGCCAAAAACAUCGGGGGGGGGGCCCGAGAUUGAGGAAGCCUGAUCUAGUCAGCAUCAUAACAGAGAAGCAGUAAAGCAACUUGUUUCCACACUCAUACAUGCUUGAAUACCUUUUUCACAAUGGUAUCUGUUUCACUCAACGGAGCAAACACCUAGAAGAGUUUGACCCAAAAGCCUCUAUACAGCAUAUCCCAAGCAGUUGAAGGGUUAGCUAUCAGGACAAUGUGUGAGUGCAGUGUUCCUGUAGGCCACAGUGGUGUGACACAAGUGGCUUUAUCAUUACAAGGAUUCGUGGGAUAUAUAAAAAGACGUAUUUUCACCAUCAAACGGCCUCGGUACUGUGUACCUGAAGGAGCAUCUCCACCCCAUUGUCCAGCCCGGACACAGUUCCAGCGCCGAAGACCUGCUGGCAGUUCCCUCGCUGUGAGAAGUGAGGUUACAGGGAACCAGGCAGAGGGCCUUCUCGGUAGUGGUGCCUGCCCCGUGGAACGCCCUCCCAGCAGAUGUCAAGGCAGUAAGCAACUAUUUUACUUUUAAGAGACAACUGAAGGCAGCCCUGUUUAUGGAAGUUUUUAAUGUUUGAUGCUGUAUUGUGUUUAAUAUUCUGUUGGAAGCUGCCCAGAGUGGCUGGGGAAACAAUAAUAAUAAUAAUAUCAUCAAAACAAUACCGCAAUUUGAUUAGAUUUUUGCUAUGAAGCUGUGAUGUAAAAAAAAACCACAUCUGAAAAGAGCAGAAGACUUACAGUGGUUUGCUUUAUGUUUCAUAGAACUACUCACAGUACUAACAUGGAUAUAACCAUCCCUGGUUUAAGACAGUCUAAACUAGUGUAAGCAGUCUGAUUAGCUUUUUAAUAUACUGUAAUAUCAAAACUAGCUGAAUUCCUACUAAUUUCAACAGGACUUUCUGCUUAGCAUGUACAGAAAUGCUCAAAGACCUUGCUGCAGAGUCCUUCUGGGCACCCUAUCAGAUAUGAAGAAGAGUUCCAGAAGGUUCCUUAACUUGCUGUAAACAUUGAGGCAUUUUCCACCAAUUUUAUUUCACUGGAAAGUGUCUGGAAGAUACUAACAGCAUAGAGGUGUCUUCUCAACUUUGUGAAUUUGCUUCUGCUUUGUGGGUAACCAUGUCCAAAAUUAGAUGUGAUGGCAGCAAACAAAUGGGGAAGGGAGUCUUAAAACAAAAAGAGUGUACCUGUGAGAGCCUGUGGAAAGAGUUUGUGUGCAGAGAGAAAGAGAAAGCGCUGAACCUUCCCCACACCUGCCACUCCCAGCCAGGCUCAUUUCCUAUAUCAGAGCCUAGAUGAGCAAAAAGUGACAUGGGGGGACAGCCCCCAAGGAGAUGCUCUGAAGACAGGGUGAGUGGUUAGGGUUUAGCACGUCUUCCCAAAUAAACCUUUUAAAUUAUAUCUGAUACAAAUUGCUUUAUUUGUGAUGGGAGGUAGAGAAGUGUAGCUGCAAAUGCUCACAUGUAGUCUGGCUUUAGAUUUUUCUAGGGUCUCAGUGUUAUAAACUCUAUAUGAUUUCUAAGAUGUCACAUGUAAUCAUAUAUGGAACAAGAUGACAUUUUAGAUAAAAAUUCAUUACCCAUUCAUAAAAGACUUUUUGACCUGUAUUCUGUUCAGGACCAUCCUAAUAGUGCUUCUGUAGUCACCCAGAGAUUUCCAGUUUCAAUUUGAUUAGGCUAGCACCAUGCAAGCACAUUCCAUUGUUGCAAAUAGGUAGGAGUUUUUUAUCCUAAAUGAAAUUAUAUUAACUAAGUUAAUGACAUUGCAUUGUAUAAUCAAGCUAACUGGCUAAGGUUGCAAUCGUAACACCACUUACCUGGGAGUAAGCCCAUUGACUUCAGUAAGCCUUACUUCUGAGAAGAAAUGGUAAGGAUUUUGUUGGAAAACACCAUCUCUCUUCCAACAAUAGUAUCAAGUGGCCAACUAUGUUUUGAGAUGAUGUUAUACAGGGACUCUUUGUUUCAACAUUGUAAUGCAUGCUUAACAGAUUGUUUGAAAUUGGAUGUUGCAGCAUAAACCAGUGUAUUUAUUUUGUGCAUCUCAGGACACUGUCCUAUUGUGUUGGGGGGAGGUAAAGGAUGUCUAGCACUUUAAUUUAGAAUCUUUGAUAAAUUGGAAAUCAUUUGGGUGUAAGUUAUAGUGUUUCUAAGAGAUGAAUGGACUUUCUUUUAUAAUAUAUUUAAAAUAAAUUUCUAUUGUGUCUUUUUCUGAA